rnacentral:misc_RNA from 1 species
AGAACAGAGCUUUCAGAUUAAAGAUGGAGGAUGUUAGAGUGACCUGGAACGAUUUUGAAUACAACCUAAAGGGUUCUUUUGUUAAACUGAGAGAGGAUGAGGUUCUUUACGACAUGAGUUUGGCUUGUGAGGGUCAGAUUAUACCUGCACAUCAGGUAGUAUUGGGUUGCUGCAGUCCCCAGCUUCUCCAGUUGUUAGUUGGAGCUCGGAGUGCUGGAGGAACCCAGUAUCCUCUACUUGUUCUACGCGGUAUAUCAGCACAGGAUAUGCAGCUUAUACUGGAAUUCGUUUAUACCGGACAAGUUGUUGUUCCCCAGCAUAGACUGAAUACAUUCCUGGCAGCAGCAGAAGACUUAGAAAUCCUCGGGCUUUCCAAAAAAUGCGCAAAUAUUCAUAUCGGAGAUUUGGACGACUUUGACAUGGGUAUCCCUGAGCUACCCUCAAAGAGAAAGCAGGGACGUGCGAGAAAGAAAAAGUACUUAGAUAAUAGUGAGCCGGAGAUUAAACAAGAGGAAAACGGUUUCGACGAAAAUGGCGUUAAAAUAAAACGCGAAAAACUUGACAAAAUGUACGAAUGUGAUUCCUGCCAGAAAAAGUUUGCGCGCAAAGCACACUUACAGAGACACGAAAAGGCGCAUUCCGACUUCCGGCCGUUUGUGUGCACGAUUUGUGAGCAGAAGUUUAAACGGAAAGAACAUUGUUACAAACAUAUCUCUACUAUCCAUGAUAUUGAUGAUCCUACCGGGCAUACAGAGGAGAUUAAACUCUCAGAGGUCCUGGACGCUAUGGAGAAUGUUAACUCCGAUGACGAGGGUUUAAGUGAAACAGGGUUCGCCGAAGGAUUAAAUCUUUCAAAAGAAAAUAUUUAAUUAAUUAUUUUGCAAGAAAUACUUAUCAAUGAUAUUGUUUCCCCCCUCAAUACUCAAAAACACAUUAUUUAAAACACAACCUUUGCGAUAGGAUAACACUAAAUAUUAUUCUUAGUACCUGUACAGUAAAAAUAUUGUAAAUAACAGUUCAACGCUCAUGUUAAUUAAUAUUUAUAACAUUGUUUAACACAUUCUGUAAAACAGACCUUGUAUUUUGACCAGCUCUAGCUAACAAAUUUCCUCAAAACUUUUUUGUUACUAAAACAACGUAUUUGCCUAAACUUAUUAAAUCAAUGGACAAGUAUGAGAUUUAGGAAAUUAUACCUAUUUAUCGUUAAGCUAUGAGAAGAAAAAAAAAUUCCGUUGAAAUUUUGCCGCUUAAAUCCGGAUCUGUUUGUACCACAUUGUAAUGUUUAUGUAGCGUAUUUAAAAUUAUGACUACGGAAAAUAAAAAGAAAAUUCUAAAUUGA